GACGAACGCUGGCGGCGUGCUUAACACAUGCAAGUCGAACGGAAAGGCCCCUUUGGGGGUACUCGAGUGGCGAACGGGUGAGUAACACGUGAGUAACCUGCCCUUGACUUCGGGAUAACUUCAGGAAACUGGGGCUAAUACCGGAUAGGAAUCCUUGCUGCAUGGUGGGGGUUGGAAAGCUUCGGCGGUUUUGGAUGGACUCGCGGCUUAUCAGCUUGUUGGUGGGGUAGUGGCUUACCAAGGCUUUGACGGGUAGCCGGCCUGAGAGGGCGACCGACCACAUUGGGACUGAGAUACGGCCCAGACUCCUACGGGAGGCAGCAGUGGGGAAUAUUGCACAAUGGGCGGAAGCCUGAUGCAGCAACGCCGCGUGCGGGAUGACGGCCUUCGGGUUGUAAACCGCUUUCAGCAGGGGCGAAGCUUGUGGUGACGGUACCUGCAGAAGAAGCACCGGCUAACUACGUG
rnacentral:rRNA from 1 species